rnacentral:rRNA from 1 species
AUACCGUGAAACUGCGAAUGGCUCAUUAAAUCAGUUAUCGUUUAUUUGAUAGUACCUUACCACUUGGAUAACCGUGGUAAUUCUAGAGCUAAUACAUGCUAAAAACCUCGACUUCGGAAGGGGUGUGUUUAUUAGAUAAAAAACCAAUGCCCUUCGGGGCUCUUUGGUGAUUCAUGAUAACCUAACGGAUCGCAUGGCCUUGCGCCGGCGACGGUUCAUUCAAAUUUCUGCCCUAUCAACUUUCGAUGGUAAGGUAUUGGCUUACCAUGGUUUCAACGGGUAACGGGGAAUUAGGGUUCGAUUCCGGAGAGGGAGCCUGAGAAACGGCUACCACAUCCAAGGAAGGCAGCAGGCGCGCAAAUUACCCAAUCCCGACACGGGGAGGUAGUGACAAUAAAUACUGAUACAGGGCUCUUUUGGGUCUUGUAAUUGGAAUGAGUACAAUUUAAACCCCUUAACGAGGAACAAUUGGAGGGCAAGUCUGGUGCCAGCAGCCGCGGUAAUUCCAGCUCCAAUAGCGUAUAUUAAAGUUGUUGCAGUUAAAAAGCUCGUAGUUGAAACUUGGGUCUGGCUAGCGGGUCCGCCUCACCGCGUGCACUUGUCCGGCUGGACCUUUCCUUCUGGAGAACCUCAUGCCCUUCACUGGGUGUGUUGGGGAACCAGGACUUUUACUUUGAAAAAAUUAGAGUGUUCAAAGCAGGCCUUUGCUCGAAUACGUUAGCAUGGAAUAAUAGAAUAGGACGUGCGGUCCUAUUUUGUUGGUUUCUAGGAUCGCCGUAAUGAUUAAUAGGGAUAGUCGGGGGCAUCAGUAUUCAAUUGUCAGAGGUGAAAUUCUUGGAUUUAUUGAAGACUAACUACUGCGAAAGCAUUUGCCAAGGAUGUUUUCAUUAAUCAGUGAACGAAAGUUAGGGGAUCGAAGACGAUCAGAUACCGUCGUAGUCUUAACCGUAAACUAUGCCGACUAGGGAUCGGGCGAUGUUUCUAUCUUGACUCGCUCGGCACCUUACGAGAAAUCAA